CGGCGGACGGGUGAGUAACACGUGGAUAACCUACCUAUAAGACUGGGAUAACUUCGGGAAACCGGAGCUAAUACCGGAUAAUAUAUUGAACCGCAUGGUUCAAUAGUGAAAGACGGUUUUGCUGUCACUUAUAGAUGGAUCCGCGCCGCAUUAGCUAGUUGGUAAGGUAACGGCUUACCAAGGCAACGAUGCGUAGCCGACCUGAGAGGGUGAUCGGCAACACUGGAACUGAGACACGGUCCAG
rnacentral:rRNA from 1 species